GGAAUAACAAUAAUUUUGACUAUUUUCUUUAUAAUUAGAAGGGUUAACUCUUAAUCCUUCUAAAUAGGAGUAUUAAACCCUUUGCCAAACAGUACCUAAAAGACUAAUUCCAUUUUUUUGUGCUUGUUUUUCUUUCUAAAUACCUUGUAAUUGUUCUGAUCUGAUCUACAUUUCCUUUUCUCGUUAUUUUGUUUGGCAGAGAAAUUACUUUGCUGAGAAGUGUCUGCAGAUUUCUUAAUUGGUAUCUUAUAUUCUAUAAUUAGAUUAAAACAGCCUUCAUUCUUUCUUACUAAUGCUCUGGAUUCUGUUAUUAUUUAACCGGGAGAUGAGCUCUCAAAGUGCCAUAUGAGAUUACAUAUAAAUCAUCUACAUUUUUAUUCUGCAUGGAUGGUUUUACUCGGUUUUGGUAAUUGAGUUGUAAUGCAUUGAUGAAUAGAUACUUAGGGAUUCAUAAAACCGACUCCCAAAGUGAUGCGAAAUAGGGCAAGGGGCCUAUCGGAAUCAGCAAUCUAAAUUAAACAAGGCACCGUCUCGCCAAAAUUCAUGAUCUUCGGUAGGAAAUUAAUUUCAAAUAAUUAAUGUGACAGAUGGAUUUUAACAAGAUUUGUAAUGAUAAUCAUGAACAAAUCCAAUCUUAAAUAAUUUAAUCGCAGUAUUCAUUAUCAUUUUACAAAGUUCUAAAAUCAAUAUCAGAAUUGUAACAGUCACAUGUUCAGUUACUCUCGACUCACAAGUAUGAACUAAGCAGUGAAUAUAUGAUAAUAAUUUAGAGAUGUGUUACUCGUGUAAUUAACUAAUAAAUUGAAAUUAACAGCAAAAAUAUCUAGUCGAAAGAAAACGAUCGGACUGAACCAGCUAUGAAUCAAAUGUGAAGCAUUAACGGGCCUGCGGGUUGGAUCUAAGCAGGAAAUCAGGUCCACUUAAACCCGGUUCGGGUGUGAGCCAAAGCAAAUCAGACCCACAUGAAGUAUGGUCGGGUCUGAUCAAAAUAAACAGAUCCGAAGGGCCUCUUUCAGUGUGACCUCGAUCCGAAGGGAAGAGGAGGCGAUCGUCGUUCGAUGAUGACGGAGGACGAUGGCGGUCGGCGACGAAAAGAGCUCUGACGACAACGCGGACGAAGGUCGACGAGAGGGUGCUUGAUCCGACGAUGACGAGAGUAGCGACGAGAGGGCGCAAAUGGUGCGACGAACUGAGCGACGACGAUGAUGAACUGAGCGGCGAUGAUGACGAUGGUGUUGUCCGGACAGUGACGCGAGCAAUGGUGUCGACUUGAAGACGACCUGAAGAGUUUAAAACAGUGACUGGUGAUUUCUUUGAAUUUGUUGUACCAUAAAAUGCUUGGUGCAUUUUCUACAUGAUCACGGACGUGAUAAAUGGUGAAUUCUAAAAGUAUACAAGAUAUGCAUGUUUAACAACACGUACCGCAGUAUAGAUUGUCACCAGCAUUCCUCGUGCUACAUAGUUGUUUGUUCAGUUCUCUCCGUCUCUUUAAGUUAAGCUCCUAACACAUCAUUAUUCUUUUUGGCACAGUUGGGUUCUACAUUACCUUGAAGUUUCCUCAUGGAUAUUGCUCUAUUGACCUUUCGUUAGGUACAUGAAGAAUUUGUCCUGUUGAUGUUGGUGACGUGUAAUGUGCUCGUUACAGAUUUGGUAUGGUUACCGGAAUUUGCUAGAUCUCAUUCUUGUUUACAAUUUGAGCUUCAGGUAAUCCGAGAAACCUGUAGUUUUUAAGAGCUUUGAAGAGCCUUAAGUAACUCAAUUGAUUUUUAUCAUGAAAAGUUUAAAAUAGUUCCAUAGUUGGGUGCUAUGGUAUUGAUCUCCACUCCAGUCCUCCACUCUCCAGUGUGGUUUUGUAGAGGACUUUCAAGAACAAUUUACACUCUAGACCGAGCGUACGCUGUUUGCCAAAUGUUUAAGUCGCUUUGAUCCUUGUAAGGAACACAGAUGUGACACACUAACGCUUGUUUCUUGUAUUCUUUCCUUGAAUGGUUAUGACGGAGGUCCCGGGACCAGAACUCGCUCUUUCUUUCUUUCGUCCCGGCUUAAUAGAUAGCAGGGAGAGUUGGAGAUAGAGGAAAAGUGGAGAGAAGGAGAAGAUCCAUCAAACUCCAGUCCACAGAAAGUAUAGAGAGGACAGUGUUGGCACUGAUGAUAUCAGACUCCUACAGAGGAUCAACUGUACCAACAAACACAUCAACUGGUGAAAGCUUGUUUGCCUGAUCGUCACGUUCAAACCUUGCAGAGAGGUUAUUCAGAUGGGCUUCACGAGUGAUGGGAAACCAUUUUGGGUGAACCAGUGAACAAAAUCCAACAUAUAACUAAGGUGAACCAAACGGGAUAGGCAUAUUUUGCUGGAGGCAUGAUAAAAACCAAAAAAUGAAGAUGAGGAUGACAAGCCUGAGGACUAUAAUGAUGCGGUAUGGAUUGAUCUUGCUUGAGGUGAUUGGCACCUGUCGUCAUAGGGGCUGCGUGCCUCGGCCAUGCUGCGAAAAUAAUUCAAAGUUGGACAAUUAUGUUCUAUGCAAGAUAUAUCGCAGCAGCUGCGUUGGUGGCGAGAGGAGAAUUACAGCUGUUGCCAAAGCUGUUAACGCAAUCCCAGAACCUGAACCUGAAGAGGAAAUCAAAGCACCAACAUAGAAAGGUCGCCUAAACCUGAACCUGAACCGGAGCCUAGAAGCAUGACCCAAUCAACCAGUACAGAAACCAAGUCGUCUAUUUUUACCACACAUUGAAUCCGUACCCUCAACCCGUCACUAGCUACUAUCAUCAUCACUACCAGUCUUUAGGGUCUUAAAGUUUGCAGUUUGCAGUUGGGUUGGGUUGAUCUUAGUUAUAAAAUUUUCAGUUUGCACGGUAUCGGGCUUAUCUUAGUUAUAAAAUUUUUCAUUUUGCAGGCCUUCGAGUUUAUUAGCUUAUAUUAAAGAAAGCCGCAUUCUGAUUCACAUAUCGAUCAUUGUGAUCAAUGUCAUCGAAUCUUUAUGGGAAUAGGUCACUGAAGACCUUCUCUCCAAGCUGAGGGAUGUCUUUGCCUUACCAUCAAACAUCCAUUCACUCCCCAAGUAUACCUGUGAGAUGUUUGAGAUUCAAAAGACCUUAUCCAUCUAUCUCGUGAGUUUUUAUUUCUGCUGCUAAAAUGAUUGCUUAAUCUGAGAAUGUAAAUUUGUGGACUAACUUGGAACGAAAUAGAUUAUUUUUUUCUCUUCUUUUGAGGCGAAUGAGCAAGAAACAGGGAAUAAUUAAGGCUCUGGUCUUCCUAUGAUCAACUCAUGAAGUUAAGGAUCAAUUUGAUAAUCCAGCUAUCAUGGUAACAUAGAUUAGUUGUUGUGCACUCAUUUUUAUCAAGAUUACAUAGCCUAUAUGAUUCAUAUCUGACAAAUUUGCACUCGGUAGUACAAGGAAUGCGCAACUUAUGGGAUUCAUAUGAUCGUUAAUCUUCUCUUGAUAUAUUCUCUUUUGCAAAUAGGAGAUUGUUUUGUGGUGCAUUUCUUGAUGACCUUAAAUUCUUGAAUUUUUUGUCUCUUUUCUUCAGUCUUCUUAUACCCGUCUUUCUUUCUACCUUAGUACUCUAUUUAUCCUACAUAUCUUGCUUGUGACUUUUCUGAGUCUAGUGACUGCCUUUCGGUAUGUUCUCCUAUUAUUCUUUUUUUUCCCUCUAUUUUAUAUACAUAAAUUUGUCUUUAUAUUCUCCAGCUGUAGUUUCUUUGGUGUCAUACAUAUUUUCUGCCGGAACUGACUAUUUCUUGUCAUCCAGUGCUAUGCUAAAGCCCAAAGGAUGCAAGGAAUAUGUAAUGUGGAGCACGUCUUUUGAUGUUAUCUGAUCGGCUAAAGUUUACACCUAAAACGCUCUAUCCUGUGCUAUUUGCUAGUGAUCAUAUCUGUUUAGAUGCCUCAGUUUCUGCUGAACUGGUGUUUCACUCCGCGUCACGACUGUGACAUAUUAGGUAAUAUACUAAGCUCGUACGUGUAUUUGUAAUUUUUUUUAUAGACUAAUCUUUUUGUGACCAUAGCAGUUUCAAUCAAGGUUGAGGAUAUUAAUUACAA